GGGGAGCGCGGCCGCAAGGUUAAAACUAAAAGGGACUUUGACGGGGCCCCGCACAAGCGGUGGAGCAAGUGGUUCAAUUCGAUGCUACGCGAGGAACCUUACCUGGGUUUGAACUNCGGAGGACAGGUNCAGAGACGUCCCCUUCCCUUCGGGGCNUUUCGCAGAGGUGCUGCAUGGCUGUCGUCAGCUCGUCCCGUGAGGUCUUGGGUUAAGUCCCGCAACGAGCGCAACCCCCGCCCCUAGUUACCAGCGGAUUAUNCCGGGGACUUUAGGGGGACUGCCGGCGUCAAGCCGGAGGAAGGUGGGGACGACGUCAAGUCAUCAUGGCCUUCAUGUCCAGGGCUACACACGUGCUCAAUGGGCGGUACAAAGGGUUGNGAAACCGCGAGGNGGAGCCAAUCCCAAAAAGCCGUCCUCAGUUCGGAUUGCAGUCUGCAACUCGACUGCAUGAAGUUGGAAUCGCUAGUAAUCGCGUAUCAGAACGACGCGGUGAAUACGUUCCCGGGCCUUGUACACACCGCCCGU
rnacentral:rRNA from 1 species